UUUUCAUAGAAAUAUUAAAAUUUUGUUGCAUAUAAUGAAAUAUCAAAGAAGGAUAUAUGAAAAUGGCCAAAAUUUGCUCCGAACACAGAAACCUAAAAAACUAAUUUUUCAGUGUUUCUUGAUGUAUAUAAAAGAGAAAAAUAACAUUUAUAAUGCCGAGUAGUGCAGGAAAAACACUAAACAAUAAAAUAUACAAAAUAUAAUGCAUAUGAUAUUAUGUUUUAAUUUCCUUUAUUUUUCUAUGAUCAGACUUGUACAUAUUUUAAUAUAUGUAUUUUAAUAUAUGAGCAUACAGAUGCAUUUUGCAGAUUUACACAUACAUAUACAGCAGCAAUUUUUAACUUUAGCUCCUCAUACUUAUUUUUUUUUACUUUCCUUCCUAGUUAUGGGUUUGUGGAACAUUGUACACGCUAUAUCUCUGAAUAGAAAACAUAUUUUUUAUCUCAUAAUAUAUAAAAUUGAUGCUUCAGAAUCUGAUAAAAACGAUAAAUGAGACCCGAAUAAAAAAUAUUUUAUUUUCAAGUAAUUACAAUUUUAAAAAAUUGUGUUGCAAAAAUCCACAAAAAAUUAGUACUUUGAGUAAAAAAAUCUCAAAUUUUUUAAUUUUAUCGUACUUUGUUUCUGAUUAGGGAAGUUCAAAAGUUUAGAGAAUCUGCCUGUGGCACUCAGACUGUAGUCCAUUGUGCCUUUCAUAUAUUUAAAGAUACGAAUUAAAAAUUUAUAUGUACGGGAUGUCUAGAAUCGAACUCGCAGCCUGAUACUUACGAGUCCGAUGCUCUACACACAAAGCCACAUGACAACCCUUUUAAAGCUUUUAACUUAAAGCAAAAAAGCAGUAGAAUUUUUUAAUUGACCCUUGGACUAAUAAAAAAAAAUUAAUUUGAUAUGAGACAUUUCAAAAAAUUUAAUUAUUUGAAAAUCGACAUUUUUGAAAAAUUUGCAAAUCAUGAUUUUACUAAUAAAUAACAUUAUUUGAACAAUGUAAAAUGAUAGAUAAAUAGUUGUAAUGAAUAAAUAUUAUUAUUGUAUAUACAAUUGUUGCCGUCUAAGCGAAGAGGACAAGAGAGACGGUCGCAUUUACAUCAUAUCAGACAAACAAUAUCGGUCACAACCAUAAUGAAUACUUCGCGCUUAACACAUCUCUCUUGCUUUUCUCUUUUGACCAAUUCUCGAAAAGCGCGUGUCGAGAAGAAAGGGCUCGAAGCCUCCGACCGUUCUGCAUAAAAUUCGAAGAUUCCGAUUCUGUUUAGAUCUCAGACGAUAUAGUUCUUUUCUCGAAAUCAAUCCGAGCAGUAAGGAAACUUUUGUAUUUCAACUAUCAAAUAAAGUGCACGAAUAUACAUUAAGAACUCAAGUUGAUUAACGAAUUUCAUCUACUUCUCGCCGCAAAGCUACACUUAGGACUUUAUUAGUAUGAUCCCGGCCCAUCGGAAAUUUUAACUUUCCGACAACAAUAAUUAAGGAAACCUUAAGGACCUCAAGAAGAGUCCGGAAAUUUCACAGUAUUUGCGCGUAUAUAAAAGAUAAAAAAAUAUUACAAUGCACGUAAUAAUGCAUAUUCAUUACAUUAAAAUAAUUUUUUUUAAUUCUACAGUUUCAUAUACUUACUUUUAUACUGUUUGAAACCCAGUAAACGUAUAAAAGGGUACUUAGUAUAUUUGAUAAAAUAUUUAAUUAAAAAUAAAGGGGUAUCCAGAACGCCGAAAAUUUACAAAUUUCCCACACAAACAUACCAAGUACCCUUUUUAAACUUUUGUGCAUUCUCACAGUGAAAAUAAAGUUUUUUAAACCUCUAUCCUAGUCUUUAAAUUAUAAAAAUGUUAUGGCAAUGUAAAAAAUCGUACACGGUACGUCGUAUGUACGUAAAUGAGACGACUAAUCACUAGGUCUUCGCUGAAUUAGAAGAGUGAUUUUAAAAAAUUUUAUAUUUUUUUAUUAAAAAUUGCUAUUACAUAUAAAUUUGUAUGCCAUAGCAUCUGAAAAUAUAAAUACAUACAUUAUAAAAUAUAAUAUAUAUAAAUCUGAUUACGUAGAAAUAAAGAAAAUUGAAACAUACCCAAGCAACAUUAGUGGCUAUUUGUCGACUGUAAGUCGACUUUUUUCAGUCAACUAUUUGCCGACUAUUGCAGUCGACUUGAUGCUGACUAUUGCAAUCAGCUAUUGCAGUCCUGCAUUCUAUAACCUAUAUAUUCCUUGUUCUUAUUAUUCUUAUUCCAUUCCGGUGAGUGUGAACAAGUGUAAAUUUCGUAAAUAUUUUUAUUAUUUAGUGCGUAGACAAAAAACAGAAGUGUAUAGCGUUCGCGAAUAAUCCAACUGCAAGAUGCCAAAGGCUUUUCAAGAGUUAUCCAGACGGCAAAAAAAUCGCCGUCUUUGUGCAUACGCGAGAGAAGACAGUACUGACACAUCUGAAAAUAAAAAUUCGGACACUAUUAACGCCAAUGAAGAAUGCAAUUUGACAAAAUCAUAUGAAGAGCUCUCAGUAGUACCUGAUGAUGAGACUAUUCAUGAUGUUAACGAUUACAAUAUAUUACCUGAGGAGAAAUGGAUUGAUGAGGAGGAUGAUUACAUUUGUAUUGUAGAAACUGUUAUGAAGAAUAGCGAGGCGACUAUCAGCGAGAUAGAAUUAUUGAUGCAAGAUUGGCUGCGACGAGCUGGUGACCGAUUGCGUUUGUUACUUGCACAAAAAUAUAUUUUAUAUAUAAUUACAUUUAUUGUUUUUUCUUUUAGUUUUUUAGUUUUUUUUUCUACAUCCGUAUCUAGAUAUAUUAUAUAUUUCCACCAAAUAUCUAUUUUCAUUAUGCAAUAUACUUUAAUUCUAUUUAUAUUGUUACACAUAAUUACACAGUUAAUAUAAAUUAAUAAUAACAAAUUUCACUUUUGCCCAAUAUUUUUCCCAUUUUCACAUAUGUGACUUACAAAAACGGUUUUUUACAUUGGUAAAGUUUAAUGACAAAUCUGCGAGUAUUGCUUACUACAAAAAAUCGCUUAAACUAUAUAUAGUAUGUAUGUAUGUGUGACAAUAAAAUAAAAUAUUGCAAAUACAAUGAAAAUAGAAUACAAUUUUUAAAAAGCAUAUCCUUAUGUCGAUUACCAGUCAAUUUGAAGUCAACUUUUAGUCAAUUUUAUGUCGGCUGUAAUUAUUCUGAAUUUUUAUUGAAUAUAUUGACAUCCCAGCUAAAACACAAAAUGUUGAAGUUAUCAAAUCGUAAACUAAUAAAAAAAUAAUUAUUUUACUAUUUGGUAACGUUUACAUUGUGUUUUAGUUGAGAUGCCAAUAUAUUCAAUGAAAAUUCAAUAAUAAUUACAAUCGAUGUGAAAUUGACUAAAAGCUGACUUCAAGUCGACUAUUAAAGUCAGCAAUUAAAGUUGACUGACAGUCGGCAAGAAACAGUCGACUAAAAGUCGACUACACUGGUUGUCUAAAAGCCGGCAAUUAUCGGGACAUUUGUCGACUAUUAGUCGACUAUAAGCCGGCAAUUAGUCAAAACUUACAGUCGACUGUAAGCUUCUUCUGCCGGCUUAUAGUCGACUAACAGUCGACUCAAUGUUGCUUGGGAUAAUGUCACAUAUGCAUUACAUAUUUUGUAUGAUUGUAACGAUGCACCUCCGCACCGUUUCCCCUGAGGCCACGAACCGCCCCCCUGUCCGGCCGAACACCCGCCGAACAGGCAAAUAGGUGCUAUGCGCCGAUACACGCGCGCGCGAACGGCCCAGCAAACGCGCCGUUAAUCGUGCAAACCUUGCGCGCACGCGCAUUAAGCCGCACGCUCCUGGCGUUGGAGCAACAAAGAGGCGUACGCGCGAGCGGGAGCGCAAUAAUGGACCGAUCUCGGAGCAGCGGGAAUGCUGUAUGCCGAGAAGAACCGAACUCCACCCGAGCAUCCUCGACUCUCCGAGAUCAGGGUAUAAAAGGCGGGCGAUUUCGAGAAGAGAUCGACUCUUUCCCGGUCCAGCUUCCGAGCCAGACCAAGGAAAUCCGUGUGGUAGAGAAUUCUGUCACCGCUGAGAAAUCUCAGUGAUUUCCGAUCCCACUUUCCUGAUACCCAAGGAAUCCAAGCGGUAGAGCGAGCUCUGCCACCGUCGAGUGAUCUCGACGAUUCCGCCGAAAUCCGUCUUCACCUCAGAGUCCGCGGUGACGACUGCCAUCCAGGAGGUAAAGUGAUCUUUGCCUCCAUCGAGAGAUCUCGAGGCAGCCGGCACCGGCGCGCGAACAAGGAUUCCCUACUAAGGGAAUCCCGUAGAACACCUGUCGCGAGACCGAAUUCCAAGAACACCGGCGCGCCGUCUGAAUAGCGUCCCAGCCCGCGCGCGUCACGGGCCACGAAACUGCGAAAAGGUAAACACCGCAAAGAAUACGCGUCGUAACCGAACGGGCGUGACAAAGACAACGCUACCGCGCCGUUCUCUCGCACCGGCCGCGAGCCGAGAGGAAAAGACAGAGCAUUGUAAAUAACCGCCGCCGUUCUUGUACAUACCGCGUUCCUCUAUUUCUAGACCACACCGAAGUUCUUGUACCGCGUUUCUCUAUUUUUAGAGCACAUACUUGCAUGUAUUAUUUUUAUUUCUGCUAUAAUAAAUUUGUAUUUUCUUUAACGCACUCCCGAUCUCAGAUUUAAUUGACUCGGCAACCUCUCUUCGAGCCCUGGCUUCCCUGAGCUCGUCCGUGCUUGGACAAACACAGGUUGUUACAUGAUAUUUUAUCAGCAAUUUUCUCCGCACUGCUCGUCAUUAUAAAUAUUAUUUUUCUCUUUCAUAUGUAUCAAGAAAUAUUAUGGAAUUAGUUUUUUAGGUUUCUGCUUGGGGUAAAUUUUGGUCAUUUUCAUAUACCCUCUUUUAAAGAUGUAUGAUAGCACUUCUCUAGUCAAACGACAUUUGCAUUUGAUAAAAUUUAGGAUAAUAAAGUAUUUAUUAUUAAUAACAGAAUAGUUUCUAAAUGCAAUUAUUAUGUUUAAUUUUCAGUUAACUAUUUAUUUCUACACAGACAAAAAAAUGCUGUAAUAUGAAUUAAAACAUAGUUUAAUUCAACUAAAAUUUAUUUAAUUAUAUUUGUUAUUGCCUUUACUUUUAAUCUUUAUGUUUCAUUAAUAAUGUUAUUGAAUUAACAAAAUAUUUUAAUUAGAUUAAUGCUGUUGAUUCAAUAGUCUUUUUUUCUGUGUAAGUAAAUCACUAUUUAAUUUUAAAAGAAUUUAUUUACAAAUUAAAGCAUAGAAGCUCUCUUGACUUCAAUACCAAACUAUAAAACAUAAAAUUUAUGUUUUGGAUAAUUUAUUCACCAGCAGAAUUAAGAAUAUACUAUGUAUAAUAUUAUAUUGUGUUAUUUUAUAUAUUAUAUAUAAUAUAUUUUAUAUAUAAAUAUCUGCAUUAUUUCGAAAGAAGAGUUAUUUUGUUGCAAAAAUUAAAUUAUUUUAUUAAUGAAAUUUGAUAACAUUGCAUUAAAUGAUAAAUAGCUUAACAACUUACUAUUAAACUUGGCUUGAUACUGUAACAUUUAUAGAUUAUACGUUAUAUGACAAACAUGAGAAAAGUGUAAACAAGUAUGAAAAAUUAUAAUAAUUUUUCUCUGAAGAGAUUAUUAAUAUGUAUAAGGGUUAUUAUAAUCGUAAGAAGUAUAUACAAAUGAACUAUGUACUGUAUUUUUAUAAAAAUUAAGUGUAAAAAUUCCUAAAAUGUUAAUGUUUUAACAUAAACAAAAAAAUACUUAUAUAAAUAUUAUGCUUAUAUAAAUAUUGCUCAUAUAAAUUUUAUUUUUUUAACAAAAAACAAUUUUAUUUAACAUAGAGGAGAGGGGGGGAUGACGCAUUGUUAAUUUUUUCAAGUUAAUAACAAAUAACGAUUCGAGGCUUAAUUUAUUAGAGAUUUUAGAUGCUAACAAAUAAUCUGUGCUAAUUUGAUUUCAAUCUGUCCAUAAGAAUAGAUAAUAUAAUAAGAAAUGUGUUUUGGAAGCACCUAUCCGUAACUUUUUAGUGUUUGUUCAUAAGGAAUAACAUAAUUAUAAUAAAUAUUUUCAUUUUCUCUAUAAAACCACAAUAUUGUAUAGCUAAAAACGUAUGCAAAAACAUAUUUAUACAAAUCUAAACAAGAACGCCUUCCACGUAGCUAAAUCUUGGUACUUUUGUAUUUACUCGUGUGAUUUUAUAUACUUUCUCAGAUUUAACACAAACUGCGCGCCAUUACUUUCAGUUGUAAUACAGCUAUAAUCGAACAAGAGUCAGUAAUAUCACACUUAUUAUUAAAUUAAAAUUAAUUUAAUAAUACACGAUGCUCACUAGCAUCAAAUAUUAACCUUCUCCCCCCUGAAAAAACUAUAAAGAAUGUAUUGUGAAAAAUAUCACCUCAGCCAGGGUUCGACCCUGGGUCUCCUGAAUCUCCGGGACGGGUGUCUUACAAGGAGAUGACGAUACGAAUUGUGAAAUAUGGAAUCAGAUAAGCCUUAGUUCGUUUGAAGGGGGGGUCGAGGGUAUAAAAAGUGUAAGAGCGUUUGAGUGCAUGAGCCUUCGUUUCCAAGAAAUUUGCAUAUGAAGUUUGGCAUUUGCCGCGCGGUGCGUUAAGUACGAUUGCGCGGUAGGUUAAAGCAUGAAGCGCGAUGGCUGAGGAGACUAUUAUAAGGCGCACCUCCUAUUUUGCCCUCGGCGGCCGCGUGAAGAGAAGUGUUUGAAUCCUCGCAGUACUAAUUUUUUUUUUAUAAUAGCUACAUUUAUCAAUUGUAAAUAAUUUUUAUUAUCCUUAGCGAGAUAUUAAUCGCUUUAUAUUAUUCGUUACAUGUAACAAAAUGUAAUAAUCAGAAAGUUUGUAUAUUUAUUCAAGUUUAUUCAUUUAUUUUUAUUCAUUAUAUAAUUCUGUUAUUGCUGUACAAUGUUGUGGGUAAAAAUUUAAAAACGUAAAAGCAUUGGAAACACAAAUUGACUGUACAUCAUGAACAUUGUAUAAAAGAAUAACUCCUUACGAAAAAAAACUAUUGCCGAUUACAUAUGGAUAUUACUGAUAAUUACAUAGAAAUAUUACUGGAUAUUACAGGAAAUAUUAUUGGAUAUUACAAAAAAAUAUUACUGGAUGUCAUAGAAAAUAUUACAGAAUAUCACAGAAAAUAUUAUUGGCAAUUACAUAAAAUUCAAUAAUUAUUUUGUACUACUGCCGAAAUAUAUUACUGCCAAAAUAUAUUACUGUCAAAAUAUUACUGCCUAAAUAAAAGAGGUUUCUUGGAAUAAUUUCAGUAGUUACUGAUAAGACAACAAUAUUUUAAUAAUGAUUUCCCGUUAAUUAAAAAAAAAAGUUAGUAUUAGACACAAUGAUCAAAAUAUAUUAUUGCUGUUUUUUCAUAACUGAAAUAGUAGUAAAUAUAUUGAUUAUGUCCAAUAAUUUUCGUUUCAAAAUCAACUAAAAAUUAUAUUACUAAAAUAUUGUUGCCUUAUCAGUACCCAGAUAACCAAAUGAUUGCAAAUUGUCGGCAAUUUACCACAAAUAUCGCUCCUAAGUUGUCAGCAAAGCAAUAGAAGGGGCUAUCCUCUUUUCAGUAUGUUUUUGUCAGUAACAAUUUUCAAAAUAUAAUAAUGGCAAGUUUCCAACAAUCUAUUGGCAAUAUACUUUAAACUCAGUUUUCAGUAACUUGCCGGCAACUGGCGCGCAACACGUCAGGAAUCCUUAAAAUCCAAACAAUGGGUAGGAAACAAGUGUUGCUGUUAGGUUGCCCUCAGAUUGCAGACAAUGCAAGAAACUUGUAGAAAAUCCGUCGGCAAUCUGAUGACAUCGAUUUUCAGCAAUUUGUGAACAAUUGACGUGCAACAUAUUGUGUUUUUAAAUUACCGUCUUGUUAUAAAAAAUAGAUAAAAGUAUUUUUAAUCCUUUUCAUAUCCCUUCUAUAAAUACCAUAUAGAUCUCGUUACGGAAUCUGUGUCAUAUCAAGACUUAUGUUCAACAGAUAGAGCAGAUCGGUGAGCGCUUAGUGAUUUCUUAACAUUAUUGGUUUUUAGUUCUUCGCUGAAUCUAGAAACCAAUCAUAAUAAAGAAUCACUGAGCGUUCACUGAUCUGCUCUGUCUGCUAAGUAAUUUUCUGUAUAUGUAUUCUUAAUAUAUAGGUAUUGGAAUUUAAUACAGAUUCUAUAACGAGAUCUAUAUGGUAUUCAUAAAAGGAAUAUGAAAGAUAUAAGGAUAUAAGGAUUGUACUGCAAUAAUAAUUAAGCUAAGAAUUGAAGUUAGAAUUAUUUCAUGAUAAAAAUCAGAUAUUUGAAGAUUUUGUAUACAAUAAGCCAACAUUUGAUACUUAUAAUUUGAACUUGCUGUAUAGACAGAGACAGUAUUAGAGAGCAUGAAUUAAAACUUCACACUACAUAAGGUGAGUGUGUAUAUAUUAUAUUAUAAUAUAUUACAUAUAUUAUAUUUCUGAAAAAUAUUGAAACCAAAAACGAAACAAAAAAUGCUUUAAUCGAAUUGAAACAAAAAUAUAUAUUUGACAACAUAAAAAAAGUGUUAUUGUACGUCUGCGUUAUAUAAAUCGUUUGCUUCGUUUUCAAGACGUCUGCGGUUACCGAUAUUCUCCGGAUUCUCCUCUCUGAACAUGUUUCUUUGUUUUUGUUUAAUCACCCGAAGAGAUUCUGAAACCUUUUCUUGUAACAAAUUUUGAGUUGGUGAUGGAAAACUUGGAUUUUGUGACACUGCUUCUGUAACAGAGGAAUUAUAAAAUAUAUUUAUUAAGAUUAUAAUUUUUUAUAUAUAAAAAAUUUUAUUUUCUUGAACAAAAUUUGUACUUCUUAUUGCAAGCAUAAAUUUUGUUAAACGUUAAGGUCGUCUAGGCUAAAAAUUUGAAAAACUUGAUUUUUUAUUUUAUUUUUGCAUUUUUUUAAAGAAUAGAGUUUUGAAAAUGUAUCAGUGACAUCGGAUCACCAAUACUUCCGAUAUUCCCAAUUGAUCAGCCUUUUAGCCAGGAAUGUCAUACAUUACAUAUACGUACUGUAUAUUGCUUAAAUAAGCUUGCUUUUAUAUAGUGAUAGCUUUUUCUUCUUUUCAUUUCCCCACCACGUGAAAUGUUCACUAAUUUUUUUAGAAAGACUCUCGGUCAUGCAAUAAUG